rnacentral:rRNA from 1 species
GUCCUUUUGAAUUUAAUUUAAGGUCUGACCUGCCCAGUGAUAUAUUUAACGGCCGCGGUAUACUGACCGUGCAAAGGUAGCAUAAUCAUUAGUCUUUUAAUAGAGGGCUGGAAUGAAAGGUUCAACGAGGAAUUGACUGUCUCAUUUUAUUUGUUUUAAAAUUUAAUUUUUUAGUUAAAAAGCUAAAAUGUUAUUGGAAGACGAGAAGACCCUAUAGAGCUUUACAUAAUUUUAAUUAGAUUUCAUAUAAAUAUAAAUAUCUCUAGUUAUUGUUAUGUUUUGUUGGGGUGACAAAAAUAUAUAAUUAACUUUUUUAUUUAUUUAACAUUAAUUUAUGAAUAUUAGAUCCAUUAUUAUUGAUUACUAGAUUAAGUUACCUUAGGGAUAACAGCGUAAUCCUCCUCCAGAGUUCAUAUUUACAGGAUGGGCUUGCGACCUCGAUGUUGGAUUAAGAUAAUAAUUAGGUGUAGCCGCUUAAUUUAUAGGUCUGUUCGACCUUUAAAUUCUU